AUUAUUUAGGAGAAAUAAAAUGGAAAGCAUCAAUGUUCCUGACUCUGGACCUCAACCCUCAACUCAAGAGGGACAUGGAGGACAAGCCCAAGGCACUGAGACUCCUGCUCAGCAGCCUCAGGUUGCUCCUGCUGUUCCU